rnacentral:rRNA from 1 species
UACGUAGGGCGCAAGCGUUUAUCCGGAAUUAUUGGGCGUAAAGAGCUCGUAGGCGGUUUGUCGCGUCUGCCGUGAAAGUCCGGGGCUCAACUCCGGAUCUGCGGUGGGUACGGGCAGACUAGAGUGAUGUAGGGGAGACUGGAAUUCCUGGUGUAGCGGUGAAAUGCGCAGAUAUCAGGAGGAACACCGGUGGCGAAGGCAGAUCUCUGGGCCGUUACUGACGCUGAGGAGCGAAAGCGUGGGGAGCGAACAGG